rnacentral:rRNA from 1 species
UGGCGAACGGGUGAGUAACGCGUAAUCAACCUGCCCUUCAGAGGGGGACAACAGUUGGAAACGACUGCUAAUACCGCAUACGAUCUAAUCUCGGCAUCGAGGAUAGAUGAAAGGUGGCCUCUACAUGUAAGCUAUCACUGAAGGAGGGGAUUGCGUCUGAUUAGCUAGUUGGAGGGGUAACGGCCCACCAAGGCGAUGAUCAGUAGCCGGUCUGAGAGGAUGAACGGCCACAUUGGGACUGAGACACGGCCCAGACUCCUACGGGAGGCAGCAGUGGGGAAUCUUCCGCAAUGGACGAAAGUCUGACGGAGCAACGCCGCGUGAGUGAUGACGGCCUUCGGGUUGUAAAGCUCUGUUAAUCGGGACGAAAGGCCUUCUUGCGA